AUCACUUUCGAUGGUAGGAUAGAGGCCUACCAUGGUGGUAACGGGUAACGGGGUGUUAGGGCACGACACCGGAGAGGGAGCCUGAGAAACGGCUACCACAUCCAAGGAUGGCAGCAGGCGCGCAAAUUACCCAAUCCCGACACGGGGAGGCAGUGACAAUAAAUAACAAUACGGGGUUCUUUCGGAUUUCGUAAUUGGAAUGAGUACAAUUUAAAUCUCUUAACGAGGAACAAUUGGAGGGCAAGUCUGGUGCCAGCAGCCGCGGUAAUUCCAGCUCCAAUAGCGUAUAUUAAAGUUGUUGCAGUUAAAAAGCUCGUAGUUGAAUUUCGGGGUCAGUAGGUUGGUCAUGCCACUGGUAUGUACUGGUCUCACUGAUUCCUCCUUCCUGAUGAACCGUAAUGCCAUUAAUUUGGUGUUGCGAGGAAUCUGGACUGUUACUUUGAAAAAAUUAGAGUGUUUAAAGCAGGCUAACGCUUGAAUACAUUAGCAUGGAAUAAUGAAAUAGGACGUUCGAUCUUAUUUUGUUGGUUUCUAAAAUUGACGUAAUGAUUAAUAGGGAUAGUUGGGGGCAUUAGUAUUCAAUUGUCAGAGGUGAAAAUUCUUGGAUUUAUUGAAGACUAACUACUGCGAAAGCA
rnacentral:rRNA from 1 species